rnacentral:lncRNA from 1 species
UAAUGGAAAGCAAAUUUAGGAACUUACUAUUGUAUUAGUCACUUGUGCUCUCUCCGGUGUGCUUAUUUUUGUGAAAUUGGAAUUGAUCACAUAUAUAUGGAUGUGAUCAUUUAUAUUUAGUAUUAUUUUACAACAAGAGUAUAAAAAUAGCAUGAACUUACAAAUUACCAUCCAAACUUGAAAAAGAAACUUGAUAUAUGCAUGCUCUUUGAGAUCAUCACACGAGUUGGUCAGAGCCACCUUUCCCAGUCUUUCCUUCGGCGGCUGGUCCAUGUUGUUUUUCGACUUUACUAUCUACGAUUCUCUCUCGAGGGUUACACAAGAUUCUUCCUAAAAAAUGAGAAGCAAUUGCCAAGAAUAUGAUCGCUAUGACGAUCAAACACCAUUGCCAGAUUGGAACCUCCAUAUCUUUAGUUUGGAUUUUUAGUCACACAAAGUAAACGCAGAGCAGAAGAAGAAGAGGAGGAAGAUGCUUGAAAGUUGUUGGUACUGUUGACCAAAAGGAGUAAGUUGUGAAGAAAUGAUACGCAAAGAUUUGUGGAAGGUAACCAAUUUUGUAAACUUCGUAGAAGA